GCCAGGGUGGCGGAGCGGUCUAACGCAAUAGUCUCGAAAACUAUGUCCUUACGGACUCGCAGGUUCGAAUCCUGUUCCUGGCG
rnacentral:tRNA from 1 species